rnacentral:lncRNA from 1 species
GUUAACUGACAAAUAUUUCUGAUGAAUUAAUCAAAUUAAAUGCCAAAUUCGUCUAUGUGUUCAGGUUGCACUUAGUAAAUUCACCUGUUUCCCAAUCCACACCUCGUUUGGGGAGACUUAUAAUAUUCCUAUAUAUUUCAUUUUCUUUACGUACUGGUUCCCAAAUACAUGUAUGAUCUCUGUGUGCCAUCUCACAGAGAAAUACCUCUUUAGGGAAACAAAUGGUUGCGGCACAAUUUAAUUAUAAGGCAGACCCAGUGUGAA